rnacentral:lncRNA from 1 species
GCUGACCAAAAGAUGAUGGGGUGCUGGUUGUUGCUGCCCCAUACUUGGAUAUAGGUGUGGGUGUUGAAAAAUAUAUCCCAAAGCCAAUCGUUAGACGAUUGUGCUCAUCUUGUACAUUAUAUAUGAAUUUUUACUAAUAAAAGUUAUUUAGUAUUUUCAUUACAAAUUAUCUAUCUUUGAACUUCUAUGUUGUAAUGAAGU